rnacentral:tRNA from 1 species
GCGUCGGUGGUUCAGUGGUAGAAUACUCGCCUGCCACGUGGGUGACCCGGGUUCGAUUCCCGGCCGACGCA